GCCGUAAUGGACAUACUGGACGGUCUGGAAGCAACCAUAUACAUCGAUGAUGUAUGCAUUGCAGAUGACACAGAAGAAGAACAUCUGGCGAAAUUGAGAAAAGUGGUUGAACGGCUUACGGCGGCAGGGUUGAAACUAAAUUUGAAGAAAGGCCAAUUUGGACAGUUCCAAGUGAACUACCUGGGGUUCCAGGUCUCUACUGACCUGGGACUCUCAGACGGAUUUCGGGGAAAAGUGGAGCAGAUCGACCCACCUACCUCACUGAACGAACUACAGAAGGUGCUGGGACUCUGCAACUAUGUUAGGGACCAUGUCCCGAGCUACCAGAAGUACGCAAGACCACUGUAUGCCAAGUUGAGAAAAGAAGAUCCUGAGGAGACCCACAAGAAGUGGGAAUGGACAGCGAUGGAUCAAACAAACUUGGAAAACCUGAGGACAGCCAUCAAAGGAGCUUUGAGGCUGGAGCCACGAAGUCUGACAACGAAGCUGGUGGCAGAGGUCAGUUGCAACGAGGACGAUGCAGUGAUAAAAGUGAGCAACAAAGGUGCGGGGAUAGUGACAUUGUGGAGCUAUACCCUGUCCUCUGUGGAAAAGAAAUAUCCUGCAGAAGAAAAGGAGUUGGCAGUCCUGGCAAGGUAUUGGAGUACCCUGAAAGAUCUAGCCCAAGGGCAGGGCAUCAGGGUCCUCACUCAAAGCCAGGUCCAUCGAUUCCUGCGCAAAGCCACGGUAGAGAGCACAAAAGCAACGAACACCAGAUGGGGUCGUUGGGAAGAUAUCCUGCUGGACCCGGACCUCGAGAUCGGCCCUGCACAGCCCUCAAGCAAGAAAAAGACGCAACCAGACGACACACCACCCGAACCGUUAGAGUGGACCCUGUACACCGACGGGUCGAGGAAAGGACAAGACGACAAGGCCUACUGGGGGUUCAUUCUCAAGCAGAAAGAGAAGGAACGCUCAAGACAACGGGGCCAAGUCCCCGGUAGUGCCCAGACCGGGGAGGUAACAGCGAUACUGGAAGGUCUGCUCGAAUUGGAGAGGAGAAGGGUGAAAAGAGCCAGAGUGAUAACGGACAGUUAUUACUGUGCUCAGGCCCUUAACGAAGACCUGUCCAUAUGGGAAGAAAAUGGUUUCGAGAGCGCUAAAAACAAAAAAGUGGCUCACGAAGACCUAUGGAGGAAAAUAGCCGAAUUGCGGCUAACCAUGGAGCUCGAAGUGGUGCACCAGAGGGCCCACACGCGAGCAGGAACUCACUGGCAAGGAAACGAAGAAGUGGACCGUUUCGUCCAGAUGAGACAAGUUGUCUUUGUUGGGAUCGAGAAGUGGGAAGAACUGCCCAAAGGAAGGGUAGUCCCAGAAGAGAACGUGAAGGAAGUGGUGCAGGCGGUGCAUGGAGCACUAGGACAUGCAGGCACCGUUCCGACGCGAAGGGAACUGGAAAAGCAGCGACUCUGGAUUCCUGAAAGAGAGGUCCGAAGAAUCCUAAAAGACUGUGAGUUGUGUGGUCGAUACAAUGCAGGAAGGAGAGGACAAAGGGUGGGAGGACUCACCAUUAAAAGUACUGUUCCCUGGGGUUCAGUAUGCAUGGAUGUGGCAGGACCCCUAGGGGUAUCGGGGAAGAACGGAGAAAAGUACCUGUUGGUGCUUGUGGACUCGAUGUCAGGAUACGUGACCACAAAAGCGGUGAGAAAGGCUAACGGCAACAGUGUUGUUAGCAUGCUGGACCAAGUCUGUGGCUACUUAGGCGUGCCUAAGGAGCUCAGAACUGACAACGGCACACAUUUUCGCAACGCCAAGGUGGACCAAUGGUGCCAACAGAAUGGGGUAAUGAUGAUCUUCUCUCCCCCAUACACUCCCCAAGCCAAUGGGGUGGUGGAAAGGACCAUUGGUUUGGUGAAAAGUUGGAUUGGGAAAAAUGCCAACUCCAGAGAAUGGAGCACUAAGACCCUAGACAUUGCCAGGGCCUUGAACGACCGCUACCAAAGUGACAGGCCCUCCCCGGCGGAGGAGCUGAUGCACCGCCCCUUCACGUCACAGGAAGUAGGGCGGGGCUUGGAGGAUAAAGAACCCAAGCUCGAGCAGAAAGUCCCACUUAGAGUAGGACAGCGAGUCUGGAUCAAGGCUCAGGUCGGUGCACCUGACUCUGCAGUCAAAGCCAAGUACGACAAAUCCGACAUAGUGGUGAAAAUUUUGGACAGCAACACCGUUCAACUCAAGAAGAAAGGAAUCCAGGGAGUGGAGCAGCUGAAGCCAGUUCCAAACUAGGAGAAAACCAGGAACUCAAGCAUGGCCACUAACAUACAAGGUUUACCACCCUACGUCAGAGUGGCCAAUGUCAAAGGGGUGGUUACCAUGAGAAGGAGUACUACGGGGGUCUGGGCAGGCAGAGCCCUGAAGAAGUUGGAGUAUGCAAAGAGAGGAUUUAUCUCCGGAGAAAAGGAGGUGAUACAAUGGAGAAAAUGAAAGAACGACUGCGUGGUCUGCAUGAUGCCGACCACCCUAGUUGUUCAAUGGGAGGGACCCGGAAACCGGUUCGGGUUACCGGGAAAAGAAGAGUUUAACAACAUGCACCAUAAGCCGGUGAAGGUUAUGGAUGCAUACGUAUGCGGCAUGUGCCGCGUGGAAACGUUGCCCAGGUUAACCAUCAUCACCCAGUGGGACCUACGAGGGGUGAGGCCAAUGGGACGGGGAGCGGCUGCACCACUGUGGAUCAUGUGCCCUUCUCCAAAGAAGUGGGAAAAUGGUGCAGGCUGGUACCGCAGAGGGAUGGCAGGUGAGGAAGUUCCUUGAGCCCCUGCAGACCCUGGCACCCGCCUCAUGGGACUCGCGGGCUCCUGAGACUCCUCUUGAAACAGUUCGCGACGAGCCCGGGGUACCCUCUGCACCAUCUCUGGACCAAUCGGAUGAAGAACCGCAGGAGGCCAGUGGGGGCCGGAUAGCUGGACCAAGGGGAACUUGGAGAGAGGCAGUGUGGAGGAAUUGGCCAUACAGCCCAGCCCAGGCAGAGGUCACCUACCCACCACUGGCCGCAGUGCAGGUUCCUUCUGCCUUCAGGGUUUAUCGCGACCCUGACGAACCAGGGUAUUGCUCGGUGGCAGCAGGUUUGCCAGAUUGCCGACGAGACAUGGCAAUGACCCACGGCUGGAUGGGGCCCUGGGAGCUUACUUCCUGGAACCGGUUGAUCGAGGAAGUUUUCUGUGAUAAUACUGCCCAGGUACAGGAACUAGCCGUGGUGCCAAGAGAAGACGGAGCCCGAGGCACGAAUCUCCAUUAUCAAGUCAGAAACCUGGAUGCCUUUGGCCACACAGGAGCCAGGGCAAAAGAAAAAAGUAAGAUCUUUACGGUCACCCCGGAGGGGUGGCAAAGAGACGGAGUCAUGCAAAUACCAGGUUCAUGGGCGACUAGAGCGGCCACGCCCACAUGGCCGGAGCGGACAAUGCGCGUAAUGGUGACGGUGAGGACCGUGAUGGUCCCAUUCGUCGGAGUAUUCUCCAUUGGGGUUGUUCUGACCAGAGCGGACGAGGCGUGGCCUCCACCGGAACCACGCGUAAGAUCUAGAGGGUUUAGAGCAUGGGCCCGGAAGGCGUUCCACAAAUUGAACUCUGGUGGAGGAAGAGACAGAAGCAAGAGCGAGUAGAAACAUAAUUGAAGAAAAAGGAAGUUGAUUGUUGCAAUGUCGCACCCAAACCAAAAAGGCAAACAAGGACGGAAAAGGAAAAGGCUUACCUCUGCCCCCAAUACACCAGUAAGACCAUAUAUUAAAUUGCCAAAUGAAAGAAUCUACCUUGACAAACCAAAGAGAGAUUUUUUAUACAGAAAAGGUUUCUGUGGAUCCGGAGCAUAUUUUUGCAGCAAUGGCGAGUACCAACGAUCCCCAGACCUACAAAUACCAGGGAAGGGAGACUUAUGAAGGACCACACGGAACGGCUGGGAGCUCCAGUAUGACAGAAUCUUAGUCAUGCUGACUUGCCCAUGGUUGAUGCAGCCGGUCCCCUGUUGUCCUGCCUCGUCUCCCUGGAUCUUGAACACCACUCACCUAACAGUGCAAGGAAAACAUCUGAAAUUAAGGUGGGGACCCAACUACGCUGACCAUUUGCAAGACGAAUAUGUCGAGAUUUGGCUGGGUGAGGAGGUGAUUUGGACAAACAGCCCAAUUAUGCGGCGCCGAACGGCUCUGCACGUUAAAAACAAAAAACAUUGUGUCAUUGAGAAUCACGACGUGAGGUUACACACUGUCCAUUACUGCCUGCCUAGUCCAGGCCCGCUAAACCCUAGCCCAGACCUACGGAUGAUGAAUAUGCCAUACACCAAGGUCAGGAAUUGGAUGCACCUCCAGCAAAAUCACUCCGACCUAUGGGCAAAAGUAACGGAGCUCCAGACGGAAGAAGGAGAGCCCCUAUUCGCAGCACUCACCCAAGUCAGAAACUAUAUUUCACCGGAACAGAAGAAGGGGUACAGACGGCUGACUUGGCGCGUGGAUAACGAUGGAGACUGCAUCGGGCCACUCCCACGGCCAGCGUCGCUGGUAGUCACCUACUAUCGAUGGGUGUGGAGAGCGCUGGACGAAAGAAUAGGACACCACCCCUCAGUGCUAUAUCAUCGACUCCUGAAGGGAAGGGUUGUUCAGACUGACCCGGACUCGCCUCCGUACUUCAGCUCCAGCCAUCACGAACCGACAACGGACCUGCAACCGCAGAUCUCCACCCAGGCGACACCUACUCCAUGGAUCUCCCCAGCCUGCGUGGGGGAGUUCAAGGAACUAGGCGACCCGCAAGAUUAAAACCCAACAAAUCAGUAAACGGCGGCAAGCGACGGCAACAAUCAAGUAAACGACCACGGAACGGACAAUGGAUAUGUUUUUGCGUAAUGGCUAAAAUAGUAGCAGUAAUGGCAGGAUUAGCAGUUGUCUUGGCCAUACUGUACCACUAUGGUAGUGAACCAUGGGCCCUAACUCAUGUAAGGGUGUCCUACACUACCACAAAGAGGUUCGACCAGACAUGCUGGACGGUGGAACCUGCAACAAUUGUUCUCUCCAAAUUUGCUGGAUGGGGGAGCAACACCACCCGGUUGGACCUGGAGGGUCUAACUAGACUGCAAGAAGGGGGUGAGACAGCCCCGAAUCUGACUGCUACUAUCAUCGAGUGGAUUGCUACCUGGAAGCAAACGGGUGGAAUCAAUGACACAGACAAUAAAGCAGAUUGGACAAAUGAAAUCCAGCGAGUGACAGAGAAUUCAACAUGGAAGGUGGAUGAAAUAUCCACGGAAGAAGAGGAAAUGAAGAUAACUAUCUUGAUCUGGGGAGGAAGAGCAGAGAAAAGGGCACAGUGUAAUUGGAUUUACCCCGAGUACGGCAACAAAACCACAGUAUCAGGCUCAUAAGUACCUCUAUCUACCCCAACCCAAUGCCCAGCACGAGGAAUGGCUCAACAGCACACUGCCCUGGAUAUGGGUAACUUUGCUGGAGCAUUUCCGGGGAUCCUUCCGCCAGGGAUACUCCAGGGCCAGCCACGGCCUCGUAGGACCUGGAAGGACAGACAUGUAUGUACAAAAACUGCCUAAACCAGAGGAGUUGAUGACAGUCCCACUCGGAGAUUUCCAAAAAAUCGACACGUGUGACCAACAAAAUGUUUGCUGCUCUGAAUGGUACAGAGUAUCUAGCCGAGGGAGCCUCACCGCGAUGCACGCUUUGGCAAGAGUGGCACCGGGUUUGGGGGACAUGGCUAUAUGACUGUACGGGCCUGAAGGAAAAUCAAACCAUCAAAGGGACCCUACAAGCUUAGAAAGAGGGCCAUACCAGAGAUGGUAGCUCAACCUGGUGGGGCCUACAGAAGGAUGAAAUGUUGGAAUGGGUUGUGCCGUGCCUAACUCAGACACCGAAUUACUGGGUGAAGUAUCAGUACAUUGCCACAGUGUACUCAAAAGACAGAGACAUCUGGCCCGGAGUAUGGAGCAAACCCGAACCAUAUGCAGGCCCACGACUCUGGAAGAUGGAGUGUAACCGAGGCAACACUACUUGCAACAUCAGCCUGGCCGGGAGACAUUGUGAAGCCGUGCCAGGGUGGGAAGACCAUUGCCAAAGACACUAUGGUGAUGAGUAUGACACCCAUGUGCAAGAAGUAACCUGGGUGAAAGGGAGAGACGCGAAAUGGAGAUCAGGACCGCUAACAAGCAGCUGUACCAACUUAAUCCUGGGCCAUCGUAUGAAAAACAGAAAGAAUGUGAACGGACAGAUCAUCCCGCCAGUAACGGACCCUACAGUUUUUCUGGCUGAGGGUCACGCCUUCAGGAAGAGUCUGUGUGAAGGAAAGGAAGACAAAGGAUUUGAGUGGAUAGGGCCUAAUCGCCUAUAUGGGAACGGAACGUGCUAUUCACCAGAAGAGCACUGGUUGAGCUGCGGAAGCAGCCGACGUGAACAUGAGUGUACCUGGAUCGAGUUAACAGGAGCCACCAUCGUCGGGACAGCCACGGUGGCAGUCGAAGAGAUGGCAGGGAAGAUCAGGGAAGGACUCUCGGUCGUACAGAGCUGGAUGGGAUCGUUCGUAUCCUGGCUCUGGCCAUAUUUGUUGAUGAUAGUUGGAAUGGUGAUUCUAGGUAUAAUAGCAUGCGCCGCCAUUAAAGGUGGGGUCGCAGCUACUGUGUCCUCGUGCUUCAAGAGGAAGUCGAGGAAGAAAAGGGAAGUGGAAGAGAGGCCCCUCCUUCGGGAAAGGGAGGGCCAUACCCGCCUAUAAAGGGUGGACUACUGGAGCGCCACAGCCAUUGCAGACCCGGAUCCUCGACCAAGAGCCUCGACCUAAAAAGCCAAGAUAACAACUGACAUCACCGCAACCUCGGACCUCAGCCUGACCACUUUCGGAGUGAGUACAAUCUCCACCACCGCGGCCCCAGGCCUGACCACUUUCAGAGGGGGUACGACCGAAGCAUUCCAGAACUCCUCAGCCGCAGACCCAGUAUCAGUGAUUAGAUUAACCGAGCUGGACUUUUGGGUCCUUGAGAUCAUAUGGUUCUUCUGUUGCUGCAUGGGUGACUGGUCCAUAUCCCAGCCACUAAGAAUGCUGACCCUAGUUGCAGGGUGUCUGAAGACGGCGGUCGAGAACAUUUAUCGCGGGUCAAUGUGGAUCACCCUUUCCUGGUUUGCAACAUACCUCUUGGGAAGAGUCAACAUCGACACCACACGCUUCGGUCUAGUGAAGGGAGGAAUGGUGGUCAUCUGGUUGGGAUUCGACGUCGCUGCCAUUUUCUACAAACCAUUGAAACUGGUGUCAGCACUCAUCGAAGCCGUAAUAGCAGUUGCUGCGCUGGCAUACCUCGUGGUCAUGACCAUGGCUUUGCAACAAAGAGGAAGAGGGCGUUGGCUCCACAAGAUCCUCACCAUUACUUUUUGGGGCCUAGGUUGGGGAGCGACUGUCGCCAUCUACUGGGCGGGUUCCGAAUCAUCGAUCGCCAUAGCAGCAUGGCUCAUGAUGUAUGAGGCACUUUUCCCCCAGAAGAACGGACCCGAGAGCCCAGGCCAAACACCUCCGAUGGCGUUAAGAUCACCAUGGCUGAGUCGCCUGGCUAUGAGGCGCUCCAUGACGCAGUCCAAUGCCAAUAGGGGAUCUUAAAGAAAGAACAUAAGAUCACCCCCUGCUAAGCUCGCUUUGCCUAAACGCUUAAAUUAGCAAUAUUAAUGAAGUCUUUGUGUCCAAUUUAUUACAGGAAGGUGCUGGCUGUAUCUGCUGUGGAAUCCUCACGGAGCAGGCAAUGCAUCUAUGGGAGGUAACCCCUGCGUUAUGGUGCACCCAGUGCUACCUGGGGCAUUUCCCAAUAGGAGCAGCCAGCGGCAUCUUCUGCAAAGGAAGUACCCCUUUUAUACCGGCAAUGAAUAUAGUCGACUGUAUGGAAAUAGAAACACAGGCGAAAGUAAUAUGGAGUUCCGCUGGAGGAGCUGAACCUCAGAUCCAAUUUUACACCAAUGGUAUGUACUGUCCAGUAUAUACAAAAUUAUGGGAAUUGCCUGAUGGUAGUCGGGUAUCUACCACCCAUCUUGUCGAUGGCCGGUUCGUCAUCAUUGGCCCACGCUUACCUCCAGUGCUCUAUCGAUCACCAUCUCCUCCUCCCGAGGACGUCAACGACGCUGCAAGCGAGUCAGAGGUGGAAUACCGUGACGUGGGCAUACAGACGGAGACCGCAGGAAUAAUACCAAACCUGAUCACUUUUUCACACAGGGUGUGCCAUGGAGAAUUUCUCUGCUACGGCCAAAAGACCAGAGUUCACGUUGAUCGUGGAGCCCCCUGCUGGUGACCCCGAGUACCUCAUUGCAGAA